UCGAGAAUCUUCCGCAAUGGGCGAAAGCCUGACGGAGCGACGCCGCGUGGUGGAUGAAGCACUUUGGUGCGUAAACACCUUUUAUGAGGGAGGAAGUUUAUUGACGUUACCUCAUGAAUAAGGGGCUCCCAACUCUGUGCCAGCAGGAGCGGUAAUACAGAGGCCCCGAGCAUUAUCCGGAUUCACUGGGCGUAAAGGGUGCGUAGGCGGCUAUAUUAGUCAGGUGUUAAAUCCUUGGGCUUAACCCAAGAAUCGCAUUUGAAACGGUAUAGCUAGAAGAAGUCAGAGGUAAGCAGAACUCUCGGUGUAGGGGUGAAAUCCGUUGAUAUCGAGGGGAAUACCAAAUGCGAAGGCAGCUUACUGGGACUUUCUUGACGCUGAGGCACGAAAGCGUGGGUAG
rnacentral:rRNA from 1 species